GACGAACGCUGGCGGCGUGCCUAAUACAUGCAAGUAGAACGCUGAAGGAGGAGCUUGCUCUUCUGGAUGAGUUGCGAACGGGUGAGUAACGCGUAGGUAACCUGCCUGGUAGCGGGGGAUAACUAUUGGAAACGAUAGCUAAUACCGCAUAACAGUAGAUGUUGCAUGACAUUUGCUUAAAAGGUGCAAUUGCAUCACUACCAGAUGGACCUGCGUUGUAUUAUCUAGUUGGUGGGGUAACGGCUCACCAAGGCGACGAUACAUAGCCGACCUGAGAGGGUGAUCGGCCGCACUGGGACUGAGACACGGCCCAGACUGCUACGGGAGGCAGCAGUAGGGAAUCUUCGGGAAUGGACGGAAGUCUGACCGAGCAACGCCGCGGGAGUGAAGAAGGUUGUCGGAUCGUAAAGCUCUGUUGUAAGAGAAGAACGAGUGUGAGAGUGGAAAGUUCACACUGUGACGGUAUCUGACCAGAAAGGGACGGCUAACUACGUG
rnacentral:rRNA from 1 species